UUCUCCUACGGGGCGCAGCAGUGAGGAAUAUUGGUCAAUGGGCGCGAGCCUGAACCAGCCAAGUCGCGUGAGGGAGGACGGCCCCACGGGUCGUAAACCUCUUUUGCCGGGGAGCAAGGGCGGGGACGUGUCCCGGCCCGGAGAGUACCCGGAGAAAAAGCAUCGGCUAACUCCGUGCCAGCAGCCGCGGUAAUACGUAGGUGGCAAGCGUUAUCCGGAUUUACUGGGUGUAAAGGGCGUGUAGGCGGGAAAGCAAGUCAGAUGUGAAAACCAUGGGCUCAACCUGUGGCCUGCAUUUGAAACUG
rnacentral:rRNA from 1 species